CCUACGGGAGGCAGCAGUAGGGAAUCUUCCGCAAUGGACGAAAGUCUGACGGAGCAACGCCGCGUGAGUGAUGAAGGUUUUCGGAUCGUAAAACUCUGUUGUCAGGGAAGAACAAGUACCGGAGUAACUGCCGGUACCUUGACGGUACCUGACCAGAAAGCCACGGCUAACUACGUGCCAGCAGCCGCGGUAAU
rnacentral:rRNA from 1 species